UAAAAUCCGUUGGCUUUAUUGACCGUGAGGGUUC
rnacentral:tRNA from 1 species